CCUACGGGAGGCAGCAGUGAGGAAUAUUGGUCAAUGGGCGAGAGCCUGAACCAGCCAAGUCGCGUGAGGGAAGACGGUCCUAUGGAUUGUAAACCUCUUUUGUCGGGGAGCAAAAGACGCCACGCGUGGCGUUUCGAGAGUACCCGAAGAAAAAGCAUCGGCUAACUCCGUGCCAGCAGCCGCGGUAAUACGGAGGAUGCGAGCGUUAUCCGGAUUUAUUGGGUUUAAAGGGUGCGCAGGCGGAAGAGCAAGUCAGCGGUAAAAUUGAGAGGCUCAACCUCGUCGAGCCGUUGAAACUGGAUUUCUUGAGUGCGCGAGAAGUAUGCGGAAUGCGUGGUGUAGCGGUGAAAUGCAUAGAUAUCACGCAGAACUCCGAUUGCGAAGGCAGCAUACCGGCGCGCAACUGACGCUCAUGCACGAAAGUGUGGGUAUCGAACAGGAUUAGAUACCCUUGUAGUC
rnacentral:rRNA from 1 species